GGCCCACACUACUCUCGGUAACAGAUGUGGCAUGUUUAGAAACAAAUAUCUCUUUAUUGGCGUCCCUCACGGCAAUUUCGAUAGCAUUUUCUGAAUCAGCGUAAAAAGUUUAUCUAGCACACUUAUUUUCACAUUUCUCCGGCAACGCAAACUAAUGAUAUCUCAGUUUAAAAAUCGAUAAAAAGUGUCCGCGCGCCCAUGGUUUACGCGCCGCCCGCCCGUGACCCAGUUUUCAUCGCUGCGUCCUGCACUUCCGGGUUCAACCCGUGCACCAGGCGAAAAUGUAACUCUUUCUUUGAUUCGUCGGCGCCUCGCGGUAAAUACAAAUACAGCCAAUCAGAAGUGAUCUUUGUAAAGCCAACAGUCAGGAUUACGUCAUAUCCCUUCAUCACUGAACAGUCGCGGAAGUUCCAUGCCCAAAGCGAAGUGGAUGAGAAUACAUCGACGUAUUUUCGCUGUAUUUUUGACAUCUCUUAAUUUUCGGAAAAUAUGAUUUUACAGUCGACAGAUAACAUAUCAGGGGACAUACUGACGGAGUUUCAUGUAUUUCCGUUGAAAAAUGUUUGCGAGCUGCCGUCCCAAAGGCCGCGGAAAAUUCUUCGGUGACCCAAUUCACGGCUCCCGGCCGACCCUCCCCCCUCACGGACGGUGAUUCAACGCGGAUAUUUUCGGUAUAUAUUGCUGGAAUCUACCCAAAUGACAACAGCUAAGCUGACCUUUUAGAGCUACAAUAUUCCAGUGUCAAGUUCAAAGAUAAAGGAGAAAUCAUUCAUGCAAGAAACAUCGAAUCAUUUCAAACAAAACAACUUCAUGACAGACACAGCAUCUUGCUCUGUUGGCUACAUGAGUUUGGAGGAUUGGACACAAUUUUCUGCACUGCAAAAGUUUUGGUUCAAAAUGCAAAUUGGUGGUCGCACUGAGUACUGUACAGCAAAUCAGUGAAGAACUACAAUACAUGACGAAACAAUAUGGUAAGGUGAAAGCAUGAUAAUCCAGCCACCUGGCUGGCACGACAAGAAAAACUCUGUGCUAUGUAUACUGCCAGGAAAGGACAGAGGAAUGAAAACACUGUGAAGAACCUUUGAAAGAAGGACAA